ensembl:lncRNA
GUCCUGAGCUCACUAGACCAAAGAAUGUCCCCAUAUUCUUGAGGCCUCUUCUUGUGUUCUUUAGCAAAGUGUCAUAUUUCCGUUUUGUGCCAAAGAAUAAGCAAGGUUUUUUCAUUGAGUACUGUCCAUACAAGUUGCCAUUAUGACAUGCCCUUCCCACCAUUUCAGGCAUUUUAAUGAUAAAUCUUGUGCCAAGUCGGAAACUCUUGCUUGUCUGGUUUUCGUAGCUACAUUGAGCAAAUACAGCAGGAUGACCACUGCAGCUCUGACUAGUGAUACAAUGGUUUGUUCUACACCUCACAAUUGCUGCUCACUAAUAUUUCAGUUUCAUUUUUCAUCUUUGUGAAGUCUCACAAUUAGAUUUUUCAAAUCCUGUGGCAAUUCUUUUCCAUUUGAAGCUGUAACACAGACAUGCAGAGACAGUCAAUAGUUCUAAGAUCAAAAAUGUUCUGGUCAUCAAAGUUUGUUUUAUAAUUACAUUCGUGCAGUUAUACUAAUCGGAAACCACAGAUGUACUAAGUUUUGGUUCAGUGAUCACAAGUUUUAUAAUUUGUGUUUCAGUGACCAUAGAUUUGCUUUGUUACACUUAGUUUCUCUUUUUGGCCCUGUAAGACCAAUACAUUGUUGGUCAAAAUGUUGAUUACAAAAUAUUUUGUUGAAGGUUUUAGCUCUGGUUGCAUAAAUGAUUUUACUAUUUCAUCAGAAAUUUGAAAUAAUUCCAAAGUAUACCUAUAAAACAAAUAAAUAAGCCUUUAUAGACAGCAUCAGAAGAGCUAAGACAAUCUUCUAAUAAUACUAAAUUACAACAAUUUAAUAAUAAAUGUAUGCAAAUGCAAAAGUUAAUGUAAGACACCUAAACAGUUAAUAACGUGCAUGACCUCCCCUUGCUUGCAAGGUGGCAGCCAAUCUGCAAGGCAGACUCCCCACUAUUCCGUCUGACAUUGCACUAUGGAGACUUGCCCGUUCUUCCUGUAAAAACUGACCACAUUCACUAAGAUUAGCAGACUCUAGGUUUCUGGCAGCAACCGUACGCCCAACAGCAUCCCACAAAUGCUCAAUGGGUUCGGUGCCAGGCAGCAUGCCGGUUGGUGCAAAACACACAUUCCCUACUGGUCAGGAAAAUCCUGCACAGUUUGUUCUCUGUGUGCUGGGGCAUUAUUAUCUUGGUGCCUCAAGUCCUCUGUGAAUGUCUGCCAGGCCCAUGGCAGCAGGUGAUGUCUCAGUGUAUUACGAUACGCAGCCCCAGUGACAUUGGCCCCAAAGAUGACCAGGUCUGAUUUGCCAUAGGAGUGAAAGGCCCCAUACAUGCACAAAUCUGCCUCCACUGGAAAGUAUUGACUGUACACAAUCCUCAUUAAAUUUUUCACCUUGUAUUUGAUGUAUCCUGGCUUGGCCAUUUGUUCUAUACAACAGAAAAUGUGACUCAUCUCUAACAGGACGUGUUGCCAGUAAUUUACAGUAAGGGGCUCGGUGCUGCCUGGCCCACUGGAGGAGUUCCUGCUUGUGUGUCGUGUUUAGAUAUGGCUUCCUGAUCAGUCUUCUGACAUUCAGACCCUUUCAACCAAUCUCCUGCUGACUGUCUCAUGACUACUUAAAUAUUUGCAUCCUGCCUCAGAGAGGCAGCAGCAUGUUUAUCUACCACUAGUGCCCCAAAACCAUUCAAUUGGAAACAGAAAUGCCAGUCAAAUAAUUACUCAACUUAGCUUCUGUUAUGUUGACUAAAAUAGUGCUUUACAACUCCUCCAAUUUACAUGCUGUCACCAACAUUUUGACCAACAGUGUAUGUCAAUUGGAAUAGGCUCCAGUCCCUGACUUUUUUUUGAUUGUUCACAGGGGAAAUACACCAAAGUUUAAAUUAGAAGUAUUACAGUUACUGAGGAGUGAUACAAUUUGGAAUCAUUUGCCAUUUAAAUGAAAUUGUAGAGGGAUGUACUCACUUUUGAUGUAUAGCAUUGUAGAAACCCCCCCUGUUUCACUAACAUACAGCAUGCACCAAAGCUGAGUACACCCCUGGUAAAUAGCAUUGAAAUGUCAAACGAUUAAAAAUCUUGUUGAUGUAAUAUAUUUUGAUUUCUUUUUAGCCACAAUCUAAUCAUGGUCUUUUUUGUGCCAUUUUUUGAGUAUGCUUUUGUUUUGUUUUGUUUUGUUUUGUUUUGUUUUGUUUUGUUUUGUUUUGUUUUGACAGCUACUGAGAAUUCUCUUUCAGGUAACAAGGCGCUCCAUAUACCUCGUAGCCACUGCUGCAACUGUGCUUCAUCUUAGGUUCAAUAGCUACUGAUCCUCUUGUACCCUUCCUAGUCUGUAAGUCUCAUUAUCUGAUUUACUACUUCAAGCAGAUUACUUAACCCUUUGAUGCAUAACCUGGGUCAAAAGUGACCCAAAUCCAAUGGAAAAUGGGUAUCUCCUGAUGUGGUCUAUGCAUCAAAGGGUUAAACACAACCCAGACAAAAACUGAGAAAGCUGUGGUGUUCACAAUAACCUUGUUCGCGUAGCUAGCUUUAAUCAGAACACACGUUUCAUUGUUUUUGUUGCACUGAGGUUUUACUUUGUGGCCCACAUUUUCAGUGAGUUCAAACUUGUAUUACACGGAAUCUAAACUCAUCUAACAUACAUUCAAAUACUCCUCAACUUUAAAAUCAAUGUCAAAGUACUCUUUGACAAAAUACAGGCAUGUGAUCUUUAUUUUUUUUUUUUUGAAUUUUUCGACAACCUGUCUAUCUGAUGACUAAUCAAUAUCUAAAUAUUCUAAACUUUGAGAUUGUUAUGAAUCCCUAUAUUUAUGCAAAUCCAAAACUCUUCUUGUGAGGCUUGGUUCACAGGAGGAGGCUCUUUUUGUGAAGAACAAACUCAGUGGUGUUUAUCAUGUCAGAAUCGAUCUAACCUACACCUCCAUCUUAUUUUUUUUGACUGCAGUCAUGUCCAAGUUUAAUAAAUGUAUGCAUGACUUAUUAAACGCAUUUAUGCAAUAAAUGCAUUGGAGACCAGCUAAAAUAAAAUCUCCAGUAAGUUGGUUUGAUCCAUCUGUACUAUCAGAUGUCCACAGAGUAGAGCAAAACAGAUCCAUUUUUAUGACAUUCUGACAAAUUAUUUAUAUAUGUAGAUUCUUAUUUUGAUGAAUUAGCAUACCAUAAAUAGAGUUAGAUCAGGUUCCCGAAACAACUGAUAUAUGCACAUCAGUGAUGAUCUUAGUGACACACUGUGGAAAACCUGUGCAGACAACUCAGAUUUUAACACCCCAUUUACUAACCUCUAGAGAUGGAAUCCCAGCCUUGUGUUCUGCCUGGGUCUUAUCUGUGGUAGAGGCUGCCAGCUGUCUUUGAUGUGGGCCCCACCAUAAGUGUGAAUAAAUUUUACCUCCAAACAUCAGUUGCAAAGUGCUUACUGUUCUAAUUCAAGUGCAAAGUGAUGUCUUUCAUAUGGAUUGGCAUUGAACUGAUGGAGUAUCAUGUUUCCAUGUUUUCACUUUAAAACACCAAAUAAAACCAAGUCUUAAUUUCCUGUAUGUACUGUGAUCAUUUUAACAAACAAGAAUUGUUUUAUGUUUGUUUUGUUUUACAAAAACAAAUAAUUGUAUUUAUUAAGUAUAUGUCCCAAAAGAGGGGCAAAUAACACAUCUAAAUAAUCUGCAUAGCUAAAUAUGAAUGAGAAAACGUUAGUCAGUAAAGCUUUUAUCAUUGAUAAAGCUCAUGGAAAAUCAGUAGCC